rnacentral:lncRNA from 1 species
UCAUCUCAGCUCCUGUAUGUAACCCCCUCACCCUUAUUCCCGUAAGCCACCCCAAUGAAACUCAUUGCCAGUGAAAGCAUACGAAUACAUGAGACAGUACAAAAUCCCCAACUAUCUGCAAAAUUGAACUGCAAUAUCACUUCAUACCCAGUAAGUCGGAAAAUCAAAUUACAAAUGAAGAAAUGGAGAGCCAGUGUGGAUGAAACCUGUUUCCAGUUACGAACUGCAAAAUGAAAUGAAGGGGCACACACUGAUACUCCGUGAGCAUGUGACCAGAGAAAGGCCAUAGCAUAGUGGCUAGAGUUAACCAUUUGUAACACAAGGGGACAAUGUGGAACAUCAAGGAGAAAAAGUAAAGACUGGGAAGGUCACUAACCAGGAACAGGCAGACAAACCAAAUUGGUACCCUGCCUGUCAAACCAUCUAUGUGGUGUUAAGGGAUUUAUUUAGUAAGUAUGUAUAGAGUUGCAGAUGUAACUCUUGGGUCCCCUUGCUUGUAAUCUGUAUAUCGAUGACAACACAGGAAUAUGAUGCCUUCAGGGAAGACCUCCU